CCUACGGGGGACAGCAGUGGGGAAUAUUGCACAAUGGGGGAAACCCUGAUGCAGCGACGCCGCGCGAGUGAAGACGGAUUUAGGUAUGGAAAGCUCUAUCAGCAGGGAAGAUAAUGACGGUACGUGACUAAGAAGCCCCGGCUAACUACGUGCAAGCAGCCGCGGUAAUACGUAGGGGGCAAGCGUUAUCCGGAUUUACUGGGUGUAAAGGGAGCGUAGGGGGCAGGGCAAGUCAGAUGUGAAAACUCGGGGCUCAACCCCGGGAGUGCAUUUGAAACUGUCCAGCUGGAGUGCGGGCGAGGUAAGCGGAAUUCCUAGUGUAGCGGUGAAAUGCAUAGAUAUUAGGAGGAACCCCAGUGGCGAAGGCGGCUUACUGGACUGUAACUGACACUGAGGCUCGAAAGCGUGGGGAGCGAACAGGAUUAGAUACCCGAGUAGUC
rnacentral:rRNA from 1 species